UAGAUACCCUGGUAGUCCACGCCGUAAACGUUGGGCACUAGGUGUGGGUCUCAACCAACGAGAUCCGCGCCGUCGCUAACGCAUUAAGUGCCCCGCCUGGGGAGUACGGUCGCAAGACUAAAACUCAAAGGAAUUGACGGGGGCCCGCACAAGCAGCGGAGCGUGUUGCUUAAUUCGAUGUUACGCGAAGAACCUUACCUGGGUUUGACAUGUAGGGAAAAGCUCUGGAGACAGGGUGUCCUAACGGGCC
rnacentral:rRNA from 1 species